CGCAGUGACCCAGUCACCCUGAAUCUCCUCCCAAAGCUGUCCAAGCCCUACAUCACAAUCAACAACUUAAACCCCAGAGAGAAUAAGGAUGUCUUAACCUUCACCUGUGAACCUAAGAGUAAGAACUACACCUACAUUUGGUGGCUAAAUGGUCAGAGCCUCCCUGUCAGUCCCAGGGUAAAGCGACCCAUUGAAAACAGGAUCCUCAUUCUACCCAAUGUCACGAGAAAUGAAACAGGACCUUAUCAAUGUGAAAUACGGGACCGAUAUGGUGGCAUCCGCAGUGACCCAGUCACCCUGAAUGUCCUCUGAGAAAACCUCUACUUGUCCUGCUUCGCCGAGUCUAACCCACGGGCACAAUAUUCUUGGACAAUUAAUGGGAAGUUUCAGCUAUCAGGACAAAAGCUCUCUAUCCCCCAAAUAACUACAAAGCAUAGUGGGCUCUAUGCUUGCUCUGUUCGUAACUCAGCCACUGGCAAGGAAAGCUCCAAAUCCAUCACAGUCAAAGUCUCUGACUGGAUAUUACCCUGAAUUCUACUAGUUCCUCCAAUUCCAUUUUCUCCCAUGGAAUCACGAAGAGCAAGACCCACUCUGUUCCAGAAGCCCUAUAAGCUGGAGGUGGACAACUCGAUGUAAAUUUCAUGGGAAAACCCUUGUACCUGACAUGUGAGCCACUCAGAACUCACCAAAAUGUUCGACACCAUAACAACAGCUACUCAAACUGUAAACCAGGAUAACAAGUUGAUGACUUCACACUGUGGACAGUUUUUCCAAAGAUGUCAGAACAAGACUCCCCAUCAUGAUAAGGCUCCCACCCCUCUUAACCGUCCUUGCUCAUGCCUGCCUCUUUCACUUGGCAGGAUAAUGCAGUCAUUAGAAUUUCACAUGUAGUAGCUUCUGAGGGUAACAACAGAGUGUCAGAUAUGUCAUCUCAACCUCAAACUUUUACGUAACAUCUCAGGGGAAAUGUGGCUCUCUCCAUCUUGCAUACAGGGCUCCCAAUAGAAAUGAACACAGAGAUAUUGCCUGUGUGUUUGCAGAGAAGAUGGUUUCUAUAAAGAGUAGGAAAGCUGAAAUUAUAGUAGAGUCUCCUUUAAAUGCACAUUGUGUGGAUGGCUCUCACCAUUUCCUAAGAGAUACAGUGUAAAACGUGACAGUAAUACUGAUUCUAGCAGAAUAAAACAUGUACCACAUU
rnacentral:lncRNA from 1 species